rnacentral:rRNA from 1 species
UACAGAGGCCUCGAGCGUUAGGCGGAAUCACUGGCUUAAAGCGUGUGUAGGUGGAUGCCUAAGUACCUUGUGAAAUCCCAUGGCUUAACCAUGGAAUUGCUCGGUAUACUGGGUGUCUUGAGCCACUCAGGGCUACCGGAACAAGCGGUGGAGCGGUGAAAUGCGUAGAUAUCGCUUGGAACGCCAAGGUGAAACAGGUAGCUGGGGUGUGCUGAC